rnacentral:rRNA from 1 species
GGGGGAAAAUUAAUAAAAUAUAAAUAAUAAAAAAAUUUUUAAUGUUGGGGGAUAUUAAAGUAUUUUUUUAAAAAAAAAUAAAUUAUUUUAUAGUAAAUUAGUAUUGAAAAAUAAAUUUGAAAUAAUUGAAAAAUAAAUUAAUAAAAAAGUAAUUUUUAUUUAAUGUAUCUUGUGUAUCAGAGUUUAUUAAAAAAWAUUUUUUAAAUAAAAAAAUCUCGAAUUUAAAAGAGUUAAUUAAUUAUAAAAGUUAAUGUAGAAAAAUUAUUUUAAAUAAUUAAUUUGAAAUGAAAUGUUAAUCGUUUUUAAAGAUAUCUAGUUAUUUUAGAAAAAAAUUUAAUUUAAAAUUUAAAAUAUUUUAUUAUUAAAUAUAAUUAAUAAUAAAAUAUUUAAAAUUAAAUAUAUUAAGGGAUAAGCUUUAAUAUAAAAAUUUAUAAUAAAAUAUAUAAAAUAUAAAAAUUUUAAAAUUUAUAUUGUUUAAAAAUUAUAAUUUAUUAUAAAAAAUUUUAUAAAUAAUAAAAUUUAAUUUAAAGUUUAAUUUUGUAUAAAAUAAUAAUUUUUAAUAAAAUAAAAUUAGAAAUAAUGAURAAAUUAGUAUAUUAAAAUAAAAAUAUAAUUUAAUUAAUAAAAAUUAAAUUAAAGGAAUUCGGCAAAAAUUUAUGUUCACUUGUUUAACAAAAACAUGUCUUUUAGAAAAUAAUUUAAAGUCUGAUCUGCCCACUGAUAUUAUAUUAAAGGGCUGCAGUAUAUUGACUGUACAAAGGUAGCAUAAUCAAUAGUCUUUUAAUUGAAGACUUGUAUGAAAGAUUUGAUGAGAUAUAAACUGUCUCUAAUUUAUAGAUAAAAUUUAAUUUUUUAGUUAAAAAGCUAAAAUAAGUUUAAAAGACGAGAAGACCCUAUAGAGUUUUAUGUUAAUUUUAUUUGAGAUUAAAUAUAUAAUUAAAAGUCAAAAUUAAGAAUAAUAUUUUGUUGGGGUGAUAAAAAAAUUUAUUUAACUUUUUUUAAAAAAUUUACAUAAAUAAGUGAAUAAUUGAUCCAUUAGUUAUGAUUAAAAGAAAAAAUUACCUUAGGGAUAACAGCGUAAUAUUUUUUUCUAGUACGAAUAGAAAAAAAAGUUUGCGACCUCGAUGUUGGAUUAAGAUAAAAUUUAAAUGCAAAAGUUUAAAAUUUUGAUCUGUUCGAUCAUUAAAAUCUUACAUGAUCUGAGUUCAAACCGGUGUGAGCCAGGUUGGUUUCUAUCUUUAAAAUAAUAAAAUAUUUUAGUACGAAAGGAUCAAAUAUUUUUAAUAAUUAAAUUUUAAUGAAUAUUAUUAAUUAGUGUUAA